rnacentral:rRNA from 1 species
UACGUAGGGGGCAAGCGUUGUCCGGAUUUAUUGGGCGUAAAGCGCUCGCAGGUGGUUCGAUGCGUCGUGCGUGAAAGACCCCGGCUCAACUGGGGAGGGUCGUGCGAUACGGUCGAACUGGAGGCCAGUAGGGGGAUGCGGAAUUCCGGGUGUAGUGGUGGAAUGCGUAGAGAUCCGGAGGAACACCAGCGGCGAAGGCGGCAUCCUGGACUGGUCCUGACACUCAUGAGCGAAAGCGUGGGAGCG